AUUUAAAUAGCUUAAGUAGAGCGUAACAUUGAAGCUGUUAAAGUGAUAGAUUAUCUUUAAAUA
rnacentral:tRNA from 1 species